AGGGGGCAACCCCUCGAGAGUGGCGAACGGGUGAGUAAUAUAUCGGAGCGUGCCCAGUCGUGGGGGAUAACGUAGCGAAAGUUACGCUAAUACCGCAUACGAUCUAAGGAUGAAAGCGGGGGAUCGCAAGACCUCGCGCGAUUGGAGCGGCCGAUAUCAGAUUAGGUAGUUGGUGGGGUAAAGGCUCACCAAGCCAACGAUCUGUAGCUGGUCUGAGAGGACGACCAGCCACACUGGAACUGAGACACGGUCCAGACUCCUACGGGAGGCAGCAGUGGGGAAUUUUGGACAAUGGGCGCAAGCCUGAUCCAGCCAUGCCGCGUGCAGGAUGAAGGCCUUCGGGUUGUAAACUGCUUUUGUACGGAACGAAAAAGUUCUCUCUAAUACAGGGGGCGAAUGACGGUACCGUAAGAAUAAGCACCGGCUAACUACGUGCCAGCAGCCGCGGUAAUACGUAGGGUGCGAGCGUUAAUCGGAAUUACUGGGCGUAAAGCGUGCGCAGGCGGUUAUAUAAGACAGAUGUGAAAUCCCCGGGCUCAACCUGGGAACUGCAUUAGUGACUGUAUAGCUAGAGUGCGGCAGAGGGGGAUGGAAUUCCGCGUGUAGCAGUGAAAUGCGUAGAUAUGCGGAGGAACACCGAUGGCGAAGGCAAUCCCCUGGGCCUGCACUGACGCUCAUGCACGAAAGCGUGGGGAGCAAACAGGAUUAGAUACCCUGGUAGUCCACGCCCUAAACGAUGUCAACUGGUUGUUGGGUCUUCACUGACUCAGUAACGAAGCUAACGCGUGAAGUUGACCGCCUGGGGAGUACGGCCGCAAGGUUAAAACUCAAAGGAAUUGACGGGGACCCGCACAAGCGGUGGAUGAUGUGGUUUAAUUCGAUGCAACGCGAAGAACCUUACCUACCCUUGACAUGUA
rnacentral:rRNA from 1 species